UUCCGUAGGUGAACCUGCGGAAGGAUCAUUACCACACCUAAAAACUUUCCACGUGAACCGUUAUAACUAUGUUCUGUGCUUCGUCGCAAGACUUGAGGCUGAACGAAGGUGAGUCUGCGUCUAUUUUGGAUGCGGAUUUGCUGAUGUUAUUUUAAACACCUAUUACUUAAUACUGAACUAUACUCCGAAUACGAAAGUUUUUGGUUUUAACAAUUAACAACUUUCAGCAGUGGAUGUCUAGGCUCGCACAUCGAUGAAGAACGCUGCGAACUGCGAUACGUAAUGCGAAUUGCAGAAUUCAGUGAGUCAUCGAAAUUUUGAACGCAUAUUGCACUUUCGGGUUAUGCCUGGAAGUAUGCCUGUAUCAGUGUCCGUACAUCAAACUUGCCUUUCUUUUUUUGUGUAGUCAAAAUUAGAGAUGGCAGAAUGUGAGGUGUCUCGCGCUGUCUUUUUAAAGAUGGUUCGAGUCCCUUUAAAUGUACGUUGAUUCUUUCUUGUGUCUGCGAAUUGCGAUGCUAUGCUCUUUGUGAUCGGUUUAGAUUGCUUUGCGCUGGUGGGCGACUUCGGUUAGGACAUAUGGAAGCAACCUCAAUUGGCGGUAUGUUCGGCUUUGCCUGACGUUAAGCUAAGCGAGUGURGUUUUCUGUCUUUUCCUUGAGGUGUACCUGUCGUGUGUGAGGUUGAUUUAGGCUAUAUGGUUGCUUGGUUGUGUGGUUUAGCGUUUUCAGACGCCUGCUUCGGUAGGUAAAGGAGACAACACCAAUUUGGGACUGAGAGUUUACUCUCUUUUUCACUUUGGACCUGAUAUCAGGUAAGACUACCCGCUGAAC
rnacentral:misc_RNA from 1 species